GACGAACGCUGGCGGCGUGCUUAACACAUGCAAGUCGAGCGGUAAGGCCUUUCGGGGUCCACGAGCGGCGAACGGGUGAGUAACACGUGGGUGAUCUGCCCUGCACUUCGGGAUAAGCCUGGGAAACUGGGUCUAAUACCGGAUAUGACCUCCUAUCGCAUCGUGGGUGGUGGAAAGAUUUAUCGGUGCAGGAUGGGCCCGCGGCCUAUCAGCUUGUUGGUGGGGUAAUGGCCUACCAAGGCGACGACGGGUAGCCGACCUGAGAGGGUGACCUGCCACACUGGGACUGAGACACGGCCCAGACUCCUACGGGAGGCAGCAGUGGGGAAUAUUGCACAAUGGGCGAAAGCCUGAUGCAGCGACGCCGCGUGAGGGAUGACGGCCUUCGGGUUGUAAUCCUCUUUCAGCAGGGACGAAGCGCAAGUGACGGUACCUGCAGAAGAAGCACCGGCUAACUACGUG
rnacentral:rRNA from 1 species